AUUGGUGAAGUGGGUGAUCCUAUGCUGUCGAGAAAAACCUCUAGCGAGCUAUGCGCCGCCCGUACCCCAAACCGACUCAGGUGAUCAGGUAGAGAAUACCAAGGCGAUCGAGAUAACCAUGGUUAAGGAACUCGGCAAAAUGCCCCCGUAACUUCGGGAGAAGGGGGGCCCGGAGCGUGUACCCACUUGCUGGGGAAGCGUGAAGGGCCGCAGAGACCAGGCCCAAGCGACUGUUUACUAAGAACACAGGUCCGUGCGAAGUUGUAAGACGAUGUAUACGGACUGACUCCUGCCCGGUGCUGGAAGGUUAAGAGGACGGGUUAGACGUAAGUCGAAGCUCAGAAUUUAAGCCCCAGUAAACGGCGGUGGUAACUAUAACCAUCCUAAGGUAGCGAAAUUCCUUGUCGGGUAAGUUCCGACCUGCACGAAUGGAGUAACGACUUGGGCGCUGUCUCAACCAUGGACUCGGCGAAAUUGCACUACGAGUAAAGAUGCUCGUUACGCGCGGCAGGACGGAAAGACCCCGGGACCUUUACUAUAGUUUGGUAUUGGUGUUUGGUUCGGCUUGUGUAGGAUAGGUGGGAGACUUUGAAGCAGCCACGCCAGUGGUUGUGGAGUCAUCGUUGAAAUACCACUCUGGUCGUACUAGAUGUCUAACCUAGGUCCGUUAUCCGGAUCAGGGACAGUGCCUGAUGGGUAGUUUAACUGGGGCGGUUGCCUCCUAAAAUGUAACGGAGGCGCUCAAAGGUUCCCUCAGCCUGGUUGGCAAUCAGGUGUUGAGUGUAAGUGCACAAGGGAGCUUGACUGUAAGACAGACAUGUCGAGCAGGGACGAAAGUCGGAACUAGUGAUCCGGCCACGGCAUGUGGAAGCGUGGUCGCUCAACGGAUAAAAGGUACCCCGGGGAUAACAGGCUGAUCUUCCCCAAGAGUCCAUAUCGACGGGAUGGUUUGUCACCUCGAUGUCGGCUCGUCGCAUCCUGGGGCUGGAGUAGGUCCCAAGGGUUGGGCUGUUCGCCCAUUAAAGCGGCACGCGAGCUGGGUUUAGAACGUCGUGAGACAGUUCGGUCCCUAUCCGCCGCGCGCGCAGGAAGCUUGAGAAAGGCUGUCCCUAGUACGAGAGGACCGGGAUGGACGAACCUCUGGUGUGCCAGUUGUCCCGCCAGGGGCACGGCUGGUUGGCUACGUUCGGAAGUGAUAACCGCUGAAUGCAUCUAAGCGGGAAGCACGUUUCAAGAUGAGGUUUCCCACCAGGUUAACUGGGUAAGGCCCCCCACAGACUAUGGGGUUGAUAGGCCGGAGGUGUGCAGCAGUAAUGCCC
rnacentral:rRNA from 1 species